AAACAAUGUAAUGUCAUGGUGAGACAUACAUUUAUUAGGAUUCAACAUGAGAAGCAGGUAGUAGGAAGGUUGAACCUGGCCGGCACAAUGUCAGACAUUCUUCACACUAAUUGAGACAUAAUUAUUAAAGGAUUGAGGAAACAGACGUGUGCUACCUGGAUUGCUCCUGUUUGAUGUUGUUGAUGAUGUGGUUGUUGUUGAUGUGGAUGAUGUUGUUGUUGCUGCUGAAGGGGACAAGGAGGUUUUGGGUGGAGUUGAUGAUAGUUCUAAAAGAAAUUUCAGAAAACUAACAUUACUUGCAAGUACAUUAAGUUGACAUUUUAAAUACCAAAUGUUUUUUGAUUUAACCUACACUUAGGAGUUUAUAUAUACAUAUAUAUACACAUACACCCGCAUACACAUAUACACACACAUACACACGCAUACACAUACAUACACACACAUACACAUACAUACACACACAUACACACACAUAAAAUAUAUAAAAUGAGCAGUCGAGUCAGAUAUUACUUGUUAAAAGCCUGUCUGAACAGAUGUGUUUUCAACUGCGAUUUAAAAACACUGAACACGGUAAUGUUACGCAGGGAUGGUGGUAAAGCGUUCCACAGAGUUGGGCCCUGGACUGCAAAUGAUCGGCCUCCAAACUUUUUGUAUUUGAAUUUGGGAAUGACCAGAGAGGUGUGUUCAUACAUAAAAUACCAGCAAAACACUCCAGGGAAUGUGAUAGUAGGAGCUCACGUUUUCCAUAUUGGCAGUGUUGCCAGAUUGGAAGGUUUCCUAUCUACAUUAAACUACAUUAUCUCAGUCUCAGAUUUGUUUUCUUAUAUUCACAAGACAGAAUUGAAACAAGAACUAAAAAGUAAACCACUAAUAAUAGGUAUAUUACACAUAUGACCUGAAAUUUAAUUUUACCGUAUGGGUUUUAUUGCGUGUAAAGUUUAAUUACAGUAAUUACGAUUUUAUGAAUUGAUAUAAAUCCAUUAGAGUAAAAUAAAUAUUUUUCCUCUAGGUUUCCUCACAAUUGGGCUACUUUAGUGUGCAUGGGCAGGUCAAUUUAUCUGGCGUCUGCGGGGGAUUUGUGUAUUUGUUUACACUCGAUACAAUCUGGCAACAUCAUAUACAGGAACACACCGAUCCUGUGUCAGUGAAAGAGUCCCCAUGUUUAGAUAAGAAAAGGAAUGUAGGAGAGGGGGAUCUGUUAUUUGUUAAUGUUCAUCAUUGAAUGGUAUCAGUAGAUCAUUGGGUUAUCCAUUAAUCUGUCAAUCUGUUUAAACCAUCAGUUUAUCUGUUCUUUGUCCAGAUGCUGUGUGUCCUUUCAGAGUUGAAAAGGUUACCCACAAGGUCCUUGGUUUAAUGUAGGGGAGGACAGCCUGCCCCUUUGUUAAAACCUAGGUAGUGACAGAACAAAGAGAAUGUGUAUUAUUGACAUAGGACAGCCACAACCCCUUUUUCUUCUUUAAGAACUGAUGAUUGUCCUUUAUUAAUUUAGAGAUCCACAAAGGCCAAUUAUGAUAGGCUUAGGACGCACCUCUCUAUUUGCAAAUAUAUUAUAAACUGCUAAUUGUGCCAAGAGAAUGUUGUCUCCAUUAA
ensembl:lncRNA